rnacentral:rRNA from 1 species
UACGUAGGGUGCGAGCGUUGUCCGGAAUUACUGGGCGUAAAGAGCUCGUAGGUGGUUUGUCGCGUUUGUUCGUGAAAAACCGGGGGGCUUAACCCCUCGGCGUGCGGGCGAUACGGGGCAGACUUGAGUACUGCAGGGGAGACUGGAAUUCCUGGUGUAGCGGUGGAAUGCGCAGAUAUCAGGAGGAACACCGGUGGCGAAGGCGGGUCUCUGGGCAGUAACUGACGCUGAGGAGCGAAAGCCAGGGGAGCAAACGGG